rnacentral:rRNA from 1 species
UACGUAGGGUGCAAGCGUUGUUCGGAAUCAUUGGGCGUAAAGCGCGUGUAGGCUGUUAUAUAAGUCAGAUGUGAAAUCCCUGGGCUCAACCGAGGAAGUGCAUCUGAAACUAUUUAGCUUGAGGACGGCAGAGGGAGGUGGAAUUCCAGGUGUAGAGGUGAAAUUCGUAGAUAUCUGGAGGAACACCGGUGGCGAAGGCGGCCUCCUGGACCGUUCCUGACGCUGAGACGCGAAAGCGUGGGUAGCAAACAGG